UCCUGCUCGCUUCUAGCUUCUGCCUCCUCCAUGGCUGUGGCUUUGGUUGCAAGUUUCUCAGCCAUCUUUUUGGUAUGGAGCUUUUAUACCCAGGAGGAGGGGCAAGGAGAUACACAGAUCCCCUUGUGCAGAGAUAUACUGAAAUAUUUCACAAUAUAUUGGUUGAAAAACCAUCUUCACAAUACUUGAAUGAUCAAGAUGAGACUCAGCUCGCACAAAUAAUGAUAUUUUCAUCUGGAAUACUUCAUGCAUAGACAACAACCGAGAUCUCUCAUUGCCUGUAUAAGAUUUCACAAAGGGUUAG